rnacentral:rRNA from 1 species
AAGGUCGAAGGAAGAAAUUCAUUCGUGUAUCGUUGUUGUCUGGACUGUGUAUGUUUGACGAUAAAUAAGUCAAAUCAUCAUCUGGUGAUUUUCGAUUUAUAUGUUGCUAUGUACAUGUCUGAUGUCAGAUAAUGAACGCGUGCAUUUUUCUUCUGGUAGGACGUUGCGAUCCGUUAGAAAUAUUUUCGAUCUAUGAUUUAUGGUUAAAGUUCAUUGAUACAUAUUUAUUUAUGUUAAUAUUGAUGAGUCUGUAUUAUCUGAUUGAUUUGUCUGACGGUAGAUGAAAGGUUUAAAGUCGCUAUUAUAUUAGCGUUAGGGGCUAGACAAAUAUGUAUAAUGUGUAAAGGCAUUAUUACUAUUUAUAGUGAUUGUGUUCUCGGUAAUCGGUAUUUAUAUCAAUUCCGGGCCGUUUAUGUAUUGUUAGUUUGGCAUAUCUCUGACAGACUUUAUUAUUUUAAAUAAAACCAAUCAGCAACGCUAUAGCUUUGGGUACCUUCAGGACCCGUCUUGAAACACGGACCAAGGAGUCUAGCAUUUACGCAAGCCAUUGGGAUUAAAAAACCUAUAGGCAAAAUGAAAGUGAAAAUCAAUUUAUCUUGUAUGAAUUGAAGGGAAGAUGAAUAAUAAUUUUUUUUAAAAAUUUUAUUUCGCAUUCCCGGGGCGUUUAUAUUUCGUUUGUUUGUUCUGCAUUCAAAUGAGAUUAUGCGCACCAAGAGUGUACACGCUGGGACCCGAAAGAUGGUGAACUAUGCCUGGUCAGGACGAAGUCAGGGGAAACCCUGAUGGAGGUCCGUAGCGAUUCUGACGUGCAAAUCGAUCGUCGGAAC